rnacentral:rRNA from 1 species
GGAUGAACGCUAGCGACAGGCCUAACACAUGCAAGUCGAGGGGCAGCACAAGGAGCAAUCUGAGGUGGCGACCGGCGCACGGGUGAGUAACACGUAUGCAACCUGCCUGUAAGCGGGGAAUAACCCGUUGAAAGACGGACUAAUACCGCAUAAUACUAAAUUACUGCAUGGUAAUUUAUUUAAACAUUUAUGGCUUACAGAUGGGCAUGCGCAUGAUUAGCUAGUUGGAGAGGUAACGGCUCCCCAAGGCAACGAUCAUUAGGGGUUCUGAGAGGAAGGUCCCCCCACACUGGUACUGAGACACGGACCAGACUCCUACGGGAGGCAGCAGUGAGGAAUAUUGGUCAAUGGACGAGAGUCUGAACCAGCCAAGUCGCGUGCAGGAAGAAUUGUCCUAUGGAUUGUAAACUGCUUUUGCAGGGGAAUAAAGUGCAUCACGUGUGAUGUUUUGUAUGUACUCUGCGAAUAAGGAUCGGCUAACUCCGUGCCAGCCGCUGC